AGAUCUUCCUGAUGGUUUUGCCCUGCGCUGUUAGCUGUGCGCCCUUGCCAUUGGGCUAGGGAAGCGCCGACCCGUUCGGAAGUGUAACGCAGGGCUGGCUUUGGAGCUCCGUGGACAGACGGGCGCUAGUGACAGACCCCAGAAGGAGGAAGCCUAUACCCACCGAGCACACUGUACGCCGGGCGCCGAGAUGGCCGCGACCCCCUGCGGCCUCCAAGAGCCACGGGGUCCUCUCGGGCUCCGGGGCCCGGCUCUCGAACAGGUGCGCGGUUCAAGGCCAGGGGGCGGGACCACCCUCUGUCCCAGCGGGUCAAACACCCAGAGGCCAGAGGUCAGCUUCCAGCUCUGGGAGAAGGGGUGCGGGCUAAGUGGAAGUCUGGCUGUUGGAUUGGGAAGUGUGCUUUGAGGAGUGGAGGCUCCAGCAGGCAGCUCAGGGAUUGGCCGCACCGAGCUCAGCUCCCCAGAAGGCCUCCCCCGGCUUUGCAAAAAGGGCUUACUGGAAAGAGCAGAAAAGAAUUUGCCUUUCACGGGACAAGGCCAGCAGAGGGAUGGGUGGAGAACUUCGGCUUGCAUUCCUUCAACACUUCCCUCUCCUCUCCCUUUCGAGCCCCUUUUCGGUUUUACACACAACACCUGGGAGAACUGUUAAUGGCGAAUUAGUUAGGGGUCGCUUAGGCGUGGCCAGGAGUUUCUUCCCUCCCGGCCCCCGCGCAUCACGCCCCUUCCACGGAUGACUUGAACUCUGCAUCCCGUCUGUCCGAUCCCUAUUUGGGCCGCGGCUUCCGAGCCGCGCUCACCGCCUAGGCGCGCCUAGGCGCGGCUGCAAGUGGGCGCACCACACGCACCGUGAUUUAUGAACCAGAGGCUCACGAGAACCCGACGCUUCGGCUGGGUUAAUUUUUGUCAUUGUUCCUCAUCAGGUUGAGAUAGUUUGAAGUUUGAGGCGGGUUUUAUUUAUCACCCCGCACAUUUGAAAUACAGUCGGACAUAAAAAUAACUGACUCUGGAACUCUGGCGCAAUAUUGGAACCGUCGGGGAAUAAUUUGGCUAACUGACUUGGACAUUUCACCUUCUAAACAGAAAUGCAGCUCUCAGUCAAACUGUAAAUCAGAAUGUCUUCAGCAGUGGUGGGAGUGGGGGGAGGGAGGGGAGGCACCAAUACCAGAAAGAAUGGAAACCGAGAUGAAGAAAUGAAAGGAAAUGCAGAUAUUGACCCAAGCAACUCAGACUUCAGAAAGCCGGGCUGAAUUUUUAAUUUCAGGUGUGGAACCUCAUCGGAAAUUUGAAUUCUUAAAUGUUUUUCCUGGAAGAUCGGUCUCCAGAGUUUUAGGAUGCCCCAAUCAGACUUUCAAAAAAAUCUUUUUGUCCGCUUUGUAUCAAUACCAAGCAAUAAAUGAUAGUUUAAAAAGCAAACCAGCAGAGUACCCAAUUAAGCUCACUCUGGGUCUAAAUUGAGGUCCUUUUUUAGAGUUGUAAUUAUAAACGGAAACAAAGAGGCAGGGCGUGGCCUGAGUUAUGAUUGAGCGGGAUCAUACGGAAGCGACUUAAAUUUUGAUAAGGAGAAAUUUCUCUUGCGAUUCCCUUACUCCCAACUUGCACUGGAUCUUGGGACCGGAAUCUGAGAGCCUUUUCCGCGCCUCAGGGGCUCCUCUCUCCUUCUAUCUGCAAGUCCUCAACAUUAAAUGCUCAAUUUCUUACCGCCACUUAGCAUGGAGUGAUCAAAAGCCUCCUCAAAGCAGGGACUGGAAAAGAACAGAAAAUCAGUGCGGGCAGCUACUCAACAACUGAUCACAAAGGAGGAUGCAAAAUACAACCAAAUAAAACUUCCC
rnacentral:lncRNA from 1 species